UAUCCGUAGGUCGCUAGAGUUCAGCCUACCAAAGCAAACCUUUCAAAACUGCUAGUCUCUCCCCGAGGCGACACGCUCAAUGUUGCGGAGGGGCCCUCUUUUCAGAGGGUAAUCCGCAGCCGGCCCCCUAAAGGCUGGUUCAGAGACUCAAUGAGUGUGGGUUUGGCCUUUUGGCCAGGCUUAAGAUAGAGCCCGUCCCUGUAGGCAACUGCGGGGGAUGAACGGAACCUGCGGAAGGAUCAUUAAAGAAUCGGUGACCCUCGCGGUCCCAUUCCCACCCUUUGUAUACCAAACUUCAGUUGCUUUGGCUGGCCUUCGCGGGCCGGCCAGAGGACUCAAACCCUUGAAUCUUUGCUGUCUGAGUACUAUAUAAUAGUUAAAACUUUCAACAACGGAUCUCUUGGUUCUG
rnacentral:misc_RNA from 1 species